UACGUAGGGGGCGAGCGUUGUCCGGAAUUAUUGGGCGUAAAGAGCGCGUAGGCGGUCCGAUAAGUCGGCUGUGAAAGUCAGGGGCUCAACCCUUGAAAGCCGGCCGAUACUGUCGGACUAGAGUCCGGAAGAGGCAAGUGGAAUUCCCGGUGUAGCGGUGAAAUGCGCAGAUAUCGGGAGGAACACCAAUGGCGAAGGCAGCUCGCUGGGACGUUACUGACACUGGAGGCGCGAAAGCGUGGGGAGCGAACAGG
rnacentral:rRNA from 1 species